UGCGUUUUUACGUACGCUGAUAAACAGACGAAUUAGAGAAUGAAAACAAACACCCGCGAUCGACCGACUGCCGACGGAUCACUGACGCCGUCACUCUCGCGACGAGUUCGGUCGAAUGGACUCUCACGAUACUCGCGGUGUAACAACAGAUUGUCGAUACAAUGGUGAGUAACGACGAUAAUCACCUUUAUACAUAUGAAGAUCGCACAGCACCUUGGCACAAUGCUUUCCGAUAUCGAUCGUCGCGCAGUUUAUCAGCGCCAUUAGCAAUCAGUGUGGUCAUCUUCACGCGACUAGCGCGACGCCCUGGUAACUAGACGGCGCCACGCUAGUACUAAAGGGUUACGCUAGUCGCGUGAAGAUGACCACACUGAUUGCUAAUGGCGCUAAUAAACUGCGCAUCAGUCGACAUCGAAAGCAUUGUGUAAAGUGCCGUGCGAUCUUCAUAAAGGUGAUUGUCGUCGUAUUCACCAUUGUAUCGGCUAUCUGUUGUUACACCGCGAGUAUCGCGAGAAUCUGUUUUUAACUGAAUUCGUCGCGAGAGCGACGGCGUCAGUGAUCCGUCGGCAGUCAGUCGCGCGUGUUUGUUUUCAUUCUCUAAUUCGUAUGUUUAUCAGCAUACGUGAGAACGCGGACGUGUCGUCCGAAGACGUUGUGUUUGUUGUGCGUUAGUAACGGUUGCGGCCACCGAAUCAAAAAUUUUGUCGAUCGUCGUGGCGAGGUAAAUGUAUCGCAUGAAGGUGUCCGCGCGUACCUAUCGUUCGAGAGUCGUCGUCGUCGGUCGGCCAACGUCAUUGCUAUUGGAUGCCGAGUGACGCAGAUCGCAACUCGCUUGCCGUUUCGCGUUAAUUUCCCGUUGUCGCGACAUAAUAAAUUGCGCAUCGUGCACAUCGGAAGUGCCUGACAAGUGCAAGGCGCCGCGCGAUCUUUAUAUCGAAGUGAUUAGUGCCGUAUGUGCCGGCAACUUGUUAGAUCGCGAAUUUCGUUCGAAGCUUGUUGUGCGAGCGACGGCAUCAGUGAAUUCUAUCGCCCGUCGGUCGAUCGCAUUUUUCAAUCCGCGGCUGUUUGUUUUCGGUUUCGAUUCGUAUGUUUAUCUGCGUACGUGAGAACGUGGACAUAGUAAUCGUCCGGAGCAGCGCGUGUUGUGUGUGAGCAACAGCCCCGACUGCCCGGUCGACAGGUUAUGUUGCGCCGCACGGCGCGGCGUAAAUGUGAUCGCGCGUACAUACUUCUGCCCUCGAGAUUCGUCGUCUAUCGCGGAGUGCCGUUCAGAAUGUUGCGCGAUUGUCGAGGUGAUUAUUGCUAACAAUAAGUAGUAGUGUUUUCGUGAGUGCUAGUGCCAUAAAAAAGCAGAAACAAGAGAGGAGAAGGAGGAGGAGGACUUGGGAGGCACCAGGCAACGGCGAAGCAACCACGAGGUUGACGUUGAAAACUUCGCUGCUGCGCAUCGUGUGUGUCGAUUGGAGCACAAAAUUGGACCAUUAAGAAGACAGUGCGCCUAAUGGUGUCAGCCCGAGAACAAUGGGGUUGCUGUUGAGACCGUCGUACUCCUUGACAACUUCGCGAAGAUUAAAACUGGCUCUUCGAUGCAUAACAUUGU